rnacentral:rRNA from 1 species
UACGAAGGGGGCUAGCGUUGUUCGGAUUUACUGGGCGUAAAGCGCACGUAGGCGGAUCGAUCAGUCAGGGGUGAAAUCCCAGAGCUCAACUCUGGAACUGCCUUUGAUACUGUCGAUCUGGAGUAUGGAAGAGGUGAGUGGAAUUCCGAGUGUAGAGGUGAAAUUCGUAGAUAUUCGGAGGAACACCAGCGGCGAAGGCGGCUCACUGGUCCAUUACUGACGCUGAGGUGCGAAAGCGUGGGGAGCAAACAGG